rnacentral:rRNA from 1 species
AGAUCGAGCCUACGGAGGCAGCAUGGGGGAUAUUGCACAAUGGGGGGAACCCUGAUGCAGCGACGCCGCGUGGGUGAAGAAGCGCCUCGGCGCGUAAAGCCCUGUCAGCAGGGAAGAAAAUGACGGUACCUGAAGAAGAAGCCCCGGCUAACUACGUGCC